GACUUCAUGGUCGAGUGGUAAGAAUAUUUGCCCAGAAGUCCCGGGUUCGAUCCCCGGGCGAGGAACU